UGCAUCGGCCGGGAAUCGAACCCGGGGCAGGCGAGCAUUCUACCACUGAACCACCGAUGG
rnacentral:tRNA from 1 species